GUGGACCUUCAUCAAAAUGAAUUACGAUUAUCUGAUAAAGUUGCUGGCGCUUGGAAACUCCGGAGUUGGCAAAACGAGUUUCCUCUGUCAGUACACUGAUGGCACUUUUAACUCUCGCUUCGUGUCUACUGUUGGGAUUGAUUUCAAGGAGAAGCGAGUGGUUUAUCGGACAGAGAAUGGCAGAAGCCAACGAGUACAUUUACAGCUUUGGGACACAGCUGGCCAAGAGCGGUUCAGAAGUCUAACUACAGCCUUUUAUCGGGAUUCCAUGGGUUUCCUACUAAUUUUUGAUCUGACCAAUGAGUUGUCGUUUCUUGAAGUAAGAGACUGGCUGGAGCAACUUAGGACCCACGCGUAUUGCGAUGAUCCAGACAUAGUUCUCUGUGGCAAUAAAUCUGAUCUUGAGGCCAAACGCGUCAUCAGCGAACAUAAAGCGCGAGAUCUUGCCGAAAGACAUGGCUUGGUUUAUCUGGAGACGAGUGCCGCAACUGGGCAAAAUGUCGAGCGCGCGGUGGAAAUAUUAUUAGACCGCGUAAUGCGCAGGAUGGAGGCUAUGGUAGACAAGUCGCUGUUACCACAUCAAAAAGUUUUAAGAUGCCACGAGCGCGACACUCCGCCGCCCAGUAGUUUCUGCUAUUGCUGACAGUGCCGGUACAUGUAGUUAUCUAACUACUCUGUCUGUCGAAAUAAAAGAAAAGAGAAUAUUGCGGAAUUGGCUAUUUUUUUUAUUUGCCAAUUUCGCCAUAAACUCUUUUCAAUUAGCAUGUUCGUUGCAAUCAAAACAUUAGAAAUUUUAUUAAUUUUUUUAUAUUCAUUUGUUACAUUUUGCAACAGAAAGUACAAUUGAUAUCAAUUUGGUAAGAAUUGACAAAGUCGGCGAAAAACUUGUGGAUAAAAAUAAUUCAAAGAACUGUUUAACUGAUGGACUAUAAUCGACAUUGCUAUUAUGCGAAUCUCAUUAUGCGUCAUAUUCCAUUCGAUUCUGCAGUGCGCAUAUAUUAUUAUCGUAACGAACAUGUUAAGAAACUUGUCGAUAAAUUUAUUUCUAUAAAAUGGCUAUCCUGUGUGUGUCACGGGAGAACGUAUAUAUUGACAAUGAUAAAGAUUUCUUGUUAUUCUGCACCUAACUAAAUGUCUUCCAUUGUCGUUUAUUAUUGAGUGAAAGCAUUCCUUGCAUUCAGCGAAUCUACUAAUGAACUCUCGAUUGAUGUAUUUAUACAACAAUUGGACUUUGUCUUCUACGGACAAUUCUACGGACUAUUUCCGGGACCUUUAAUGAGUUUUGUACAUACUCUGCUCUAUAAAUAUUUUAUAAAAUUCUUUUUAUAUCGCUCUCGGUUGCUUGUUCACGAAUGACAAAGUUAAUAGUAUUUAGACGUCAUUUAACUAAAAGUGUCUUUCAUCUUGCGAUAACGCUGACCUUUUCUAUCACUAUUAUCAUACGCACAAGGUGUUCAACAAGUCAAUCUUUUCUUACUCGUCAAAAGUGUGAUAUGCGAUUGACUUGUCGCAGUAAAAGUUUUGGAAAUUAAAUGCGAUUCACUUUCGACUGUGUGUGUAUAUUUUUGAUGUUAUUACUGAUCAAAGUUGACAUAUUUAAUAAUAAAUGAAUAACGGGCGUAAUUAAAAUCAUAUAAUGCGCAUAUCUCGAUGAACUAAUCUCUUGUGAUAUUUAUAUCAUAUUGAAUAAAACUAUAAAUUAUUGUAUUGUGAUUACUCAUUAAUGCCUCAAUUAUCGAAUAAAUGCUACAGAUGUUAAAGAGAAAUAAUAAUGUAUUUAAUAAAUAAUUGCUCAUAAGCGCAUA
rnacentral:misc_RNA from 1 species